rnacentral:rRNA from 1 species
GACAGAGGAUGCAAGCGUUAUCCGGAAUGAUUGGGCGUAAGCGUCUGUAGGUGGCUUUUAAGUCCGCCGUCAAAUCCCAGGGCUCAACCCUGGACAGGCGGUGGAAACUACCAAGCUGGAAUACGGUAGGGGCAGGAGGGAAUUUCCGGUGGAGCGGUGAAAUGCGUAGAGAUCGGAAAGAACACCAACGGCGAAAGCACUCUGCUGGGCCGACACUGACACUGGAGAGACGAAAGCUAGGGGAGCGAAUGGG